UACGAAGGGUGCAAGCGUUGUUCGGAAUUACUGGGCGUAAAGGGCGCGUAGGCGGUCGGAUUAGUUGGGAGUGAAAUCCCGGGGCUCAACCCCGGAAUUGCUUUUGAAACGGUCCGACUAGAGUGUGAUAGGGGAUGAUGGAACACCCAGUGUAGAGGUGAAAUUCGUAGAUAUUGGGUAGAACACCGGAGGCGAAGGCGAUUGUCUGGAUCACAACUGACGCUGAGGCGCGAAAGCGUGGGGAUCAAACAGG
rnacentral:rRNA from 1 species